UUUUUUCCUAGCCUUUUUUGAUCUCACUGAGUGAAAAAGCUUUUUAUAUUUAAAGUUUUUUUUUAAUUAGAAUCUUUAGGCCUUUUUCUUUCAUUUCCAUUCUUUGGUAUUUUAUUUCUUCAAUAAAGUAGUCUGGAAAUUAGGCUAUUCGAUGCCAACAUGAUGCGGGGCAAAACGAGACAUUCUCUUAGCACUGGCAAUUCUAUAAAUGUUCUGCAAAACUUGGCUCAUCGCAAACUGUACCUUGAAUAUUUGUCGAAUGAUCUCAACAAAAUUACUGGGAGAAUUGUGUGCAACGAAAAGGUUUGCUUGAAUGAAUUUUUGAUUGUGGAAUACUUGGAUUACAUGUUUAAGGUGUUUUUGAUUUUUAAUUUGGAGUAUCCUUCUGGUUUAGAGAAAUUUUUGCAACUUCAAAUAUAAUUUAACCUUUGGCAAAGAACGAAUGGUUGGCACCAUUAACAAUGUAGCUCAACUUUUUCAACUGUAGCAUAUACUAACUAGUGAUCGCCACUAAUAAUGUAUGAAAGCUUGGCAUAAUUAAAUAAAUAAAAGUGUCAACAAACUUGUAUAA